rnacentral:rRNA from 1 species
CUGCCAGUAGUCAUACGCUCGUCUCAAAGACUUACCCAUGCAUGUCUAAGUGCAAGCUCAUGUACUGUGAAUCUGAGAAUGGCUCACUAUAUCAGCCAUAGUUUAUUUUAUAGAUGCCUACUACUUGGAUCACGGUAGUGAUUUUAGAGCUCAUACAUGCAUGAAAGCCCAACUCUUUGGUCGGUCUGUAUUUCUUUGAUAGAAACCAAUGCAAGUUUUCCUUGGUGUUGUGGUGAGUCAUAAUGACUAAGCCCAUCCCAUGGCCUAGUGCAGGGCGAGGAAUCAUUCAAGUUUUUGCCCUAUCAGCUGUCGAUGGUAUGGGUAUUGGCCUUCCAUGUCGCUAACGGGUGACGGAGAACCAGGGUUGGAUUCCGUAGAGGGAGCCUGAGCGAUGGCUACCACUUCCAAUGAAGGCAGCAGGAGCGUAAAUUACCCAAUCGUUAUACGGGGAGGUAGUGUCAAUAAAUAUACAAUAUGGGGCCCAUUGGGUCUCGUAAUCAGAAUGACUACAAUUUAAAUCCCUUAUUCGACGAUCAAG